rnacentral:rRNA from 1 species
AUGAACGCUGGCGGCGUGCCUCAUACAUGCCAGUCGAGCGAACGGACGAGAAGCUUGCUUCUCUGAUGUUAGCGGCGGACGGGUGAGUAACACGUGGAUAACCUACCUAUAAGACUGGGAUAACUUCGGGAAACCGGAGCUAAUACCGGAUAAUAUUUUGAACCGCAUGGUUCAAAAGUGAAAGACGGUCUUGCUGUCACUUAUAGAUGGAUCCGCGCUGCAUUAGCUAGUUGGUAAGGUAACGGCUUACCAAGGCAACGAUGCAUAGCCGACCUGAGAGGGUGAUCGGCCACACUGGAACUGAGACACGGUCCAGACUCCUACGGGAGGCAGCAGUAGGGAAUCUUCCGCAAUGGGCGAAAGCCUGACGGAGCAACGCCGCGUGAGUGAUGAAGGUCUUCGGAUCGUAAAACUCUGUUAUUAGGGAAGAACAUAUGUGUAAGUAACUGUGCACAUCUUGACGGUACCGAAUCAGAAAGCCACGGCUAACUACGU